ACUGAACUCCAUUUUUACCUUUUAAUUACACAAGUUUUCAAAAAAUUAGAUGGUUUUUGCUUAGAUGGAUUUUUUCAAUUUUAUAAAAAAAAAAUCAAAAAAAUCAUAUAUUUUUUAUGUACAUGGCUUUUCCUUUUCCCCAAAUUUAAAACUCAUUCCUCCUCUCUUUCCUCUUUACGAGUUUGAAGAACCAUCGCCACCGUUACUUCUUCUCCGGUCCCAGAACCAACCCUAGCCACCUCCUUCAUCUCCGAGAUUUUGAGCUUCUACGUCUGCCACCAAUCGCGCUCCUACGUGGCAUGCCAUUGAUCGAAGCUUCAAUUUGUGUAAAAAUUUUGCUGAAAAGGUGUUCCAGUCGUUCUCCAUUGUCCCUCUCUGUGAACUCCUUCCAAACUUCAAGUUCUCCGACCUCACAAAUAGAUUAGGUAAAGAAUUUGGUAUCCGAUUUGUGUUCUCGUUCAAGAACCCAUAUCAACGAUUGGUUUAUGAUUUGCGAUUUCUGGAACUACUAACUGGAGACCGAUGUUCCACGUCUGUUUCAUCUGACCUGAAGACGGAUGAUUUUUGGGUGGUUGUUUAUUUCUAGUUUUUGGUUACAAUUGCCAAUUUUGGGGAAGUGUUAGACGAUGUCAUUACUAGAGACAGGGGUGAGAUUAGGUGGUGUGGGUUGUAGAACACAAUGGAUUCCAUGAACUCCAUUUAGUGAACCUGUCAUGUCGAUCUCCAUCUGAUUACUUUCUUUGUGCGUGAUUGGUCUCUGUUUCAUGUACUGCAACAUCAAUCUCCAAAUUUUGUUGUUGGUGGUGAAGGGUGAUGAUGGUGGUGGGAGGUGGGUUAGAAGAAGAUGAAUAAUGAUGGUUAUGAUUCCAAAAGAAUCAAGACAAAUUGAUAAUUAAUGAUAUAUCAGAAUAUUUGAUUUUUUAA